UCAGAAUGUGGCUGAAUUUAGGCACCUCCCUUACACUGAGGUUAUACUCAUGAAAUAUGGGUCAUUCUGAGCCA
rnacentral:tRNA from 1 species